GGAAGAAUAUAAAUAUGUGUGCAUAAUACAUCCAAUGGGACAUCAAAUGUAUGAAGAAUGGCUCUGACAACAAAGAGUCUUCCAGAAGAACCAACAUCGUUUGAAAAGUAUGUGCUUUGCUUUCGGCUUCGUGCAUUACUAUUUCACUCCUUUUACCUCUUACAAGAUUUCAAUAGACCAUCUAUAGGCACAAACAUCCUUUCACUUCUACAAGGGUAAAGAGGUAUUGUUAGACGAAGAUAAAGAUAAAGGAC
rnacentral:lncRNA from 1 species